rnacentral:rRNA from 1 species
UGCCUUACACAUGCAAGUCGAACGGCAGCGCGUCCUUCGGGAUGGCGGCGAGUGGCGAACGGGUGAGUAAAGCAUCGGAACGUGCCCGGUAGUGCGGGAUAGCUCGGCGAAAGCCGGAUUAAUACCGCAUGAGAUCCGUGGAUGAAAGCAGGGGACCCUUCGGGGCCUUGCGCUACUGGAGCGGCCGAUGGCAGAUUAGGUAGUUGGUGGGAUAAAAGCUUACCAAGCCGACGAUCUGUAGCUGGUCUGAGAGGACGACCAGCCACACUGGGACUGAGACACGGCCCAGACUCCUACGGGAGGCAGCAGUGGGGAAUUUUGGACAAUGGGCGAAAGCCUGAUCCAGCCAUGCCGCGUGCAGGAUGAAGGCCUUCGGGUUGUAAACUGC